AUAGUAGGAAGCAAAUUGAACAGAGAUAGCCUUGGAGUUCUGAGGUGAAGUGUCCUCCCUCCAUCUCCUUCCUUGUCUCCCAGGUUGGGGUUUCAGAAAGAAAGAGGAUAGUUUUGUGUUUUGUGCAGUCAGAUAGGACCACAAGGAGAUGAUAAUUGCUGUGCCUCAGCACGGAAGCAACAGGAAGGUAUGGGUUAGCCAGGCCUGGUUAGGAACAAGUUUAGAGAAUGCCAUUUCUGAAAGGGACUUGUGGAUGGGAACAAGAGAUAUCUCAGAGGCUACCUGUGUAAGCCAGUGACUGAGGAUUAAAUGGGAUCCUACCUGAGUACCUAGGUACCUCUGUAAUGCUCCUUGAUCACGGAUACAACCCUGGAAAAGGGGAGUUGACAAAAUUGGCUUUCUCCUGGUCCCAGUUGUUUACUCAGACCCAGGGAGUGACUGGUUGUGCAAUGGUGAGCAAAACGAAGCAUCUGCCUUUAACUCAGUGAGAGGAUGACAAUAAAUAAUCAUCAAACACAUCAUUGCAAAAUAGGAAGUGAAAUAAAAAGAAGAGCAUGAUGAAAUAGAGAAUAACAUGGGGUUGUGUAUGGAUGGAAUAAUUAAAGAAGGCAAGGGGAUCCUAAUGAAUGAGAAGAAGACAAAAAUCCUGGAAGGGAAAGAGCUUUCUUGCGGAAGGAAGACUAUAUGCAAAGACCUCAGGAAAAUGAGAAACUGAAAGAUGGGCCCUGUGACUAGCAUGAAGUGGGUGAAGGAGAAAUGAUGUGAAAUUAAAUUGAAGAAGUCAGCAGGAAUUAGACCUCCUACAGCCAUGCUGGCCAAGAUGCAGAGGCCACUUCAUUCCUUGUGCCAUGAGAAGCUUAACCUAAGAGAGAAGUGCCCAGAGGUGGUCUUGACUUUCUACCAAUGAUCCAGAUCUGAAGAUUAUUUUAGUAUCACAUUUCUAUUAUUUCACAGAAAUUGAGUAUAAAUUAAAUUGUAAUCUUUAAGAAGUAUAUAACUAUCAUAUCUCUCAUAGAUUUAAGAUAGCUGAAUAAUAUGAUAAAUUUGGACUUGCAAAAAAAGCAUUUAAUAUCUCCUAUAAAACAAUGCCCUACUAAGUGCUGAAGAUAAAACUUAAAUAGAGUACUCUAAAUCACUGCUCUGUUUAUGAUAUCACAAGAAAAGAUCUACUCUUUAAAUCCGCUGGCAAUGCUUCGCUGUUUCAUCCAGUUCAUUUCAUGUAUGAACUGGACUUACUGAAACAUUUGUAGGAAUACCCUUGCUAGGUAAAACAUGUAUCUGCAAUUUGAUAGCAUUAUUUGCAUUGCUGUCAUUUUGACUACGUAUCAUCUUGUUUUUUCUGCUUUUAGAUGUUCUUAAGGGCACAGUAAAUAGAGCUCCCUAGCAGCUUUUCUUUCCUAUUUGAUCCUCACAAAAACCAUACUUUGGCUGAGUAAAUAUUGUCUCCUUUUUAUAGAUGAAGAGGUACAAGCUAACCUCACUGAGCUUCAGAUUUCUAACCUAGAAAACGGAGGCAAUGAUACUUACCCUGCCAACAUCUCAUACCUACUCAGAUAAAAGAAAAUAAAAUAAUGGAUGGGACAGUGCCUGAAGAAAUAGAUACAUCAUGAAAGAUAAGCUAGGAUUAUUUCAUCAUAAAAUAGGACACUUCUGUAUCAUAAACAUUAUAAUACAGAUGUAUAAAAAGAGUGCAUAUGAUCCAUAUCACAUCUUCAUUUUGUUCUAAGCCCUCAUGGUAAUGAACUUUGAGAUGAAAGAAGACCUAAAUCUGUCACUACAGAGUGGCUCAAUCUCUUACAUUUUAAAACAUCUCCUUUUAGGUUAAUUCCUACCAUUUUUGGCAAAGGGUGAAACUAUAAACUGGAGGCCUAAUUAAGACCUGCUGUUUCCUGAAAUUUUGUGUGCGCAGCCCUGGGAAGGAAAGUUGCACGGAGCUUUCCUUGAAGGGGUAAUCUUGAGAGAAAAUCCUGGCAUUCUAGUCACUUCUUUCAAACAUAGCCCUUACUUAAGAACCACAGUGAAUUUAUGUCUACGGUAAACAUGAAAGCCUGUUAUGGAACAGGCUUAGGGAAAACUCAAAUCAACGUGAUCAUCAUGAGUUUUGGACUUCAGCUGCUCCUAGCCAAUGUUUCCAAAUUUACGCUGAAACACCAUUAUAGAUCAUACAAUUUUAGCCUGUUGACGUUUUCUUACCUCUUCUUUUCCCGUUACUUUGUUAAGAAUGGAAGUCACUCUUCCUAACAAGAGAGAGAAAAUCACCUUGCAAGAAAUAUAAUAAUUCAAAACUAUUCAUUGUAAAAUAAUUUGACUUUUGAUGAGGUUGCAAAAGGCCUGAAUUGAACAGAUUUCUGACCAGCUCCCACUUUAUCUGCUUUCAUUAGAAAAAAAUUUUUUCCUAAUGUUGCUUUUUUAUUAAAUAGUUC
rnacentral:lncRNA from 10 species